rnacentral:ncRNA from 21 species
UCGUAUCCGGGCGAUGGGGCCCGCCUGACCCAACUGCCGACCGCCGUUCCGAAGCCGUGACGACCCACAUCGCGGCGACGGUCGGCUGACGGUCCCUGCCACCAC